AUAAAAUAUUUAUUUCAUUUUCUCUACAUACUUCAUCUUUCUCUGAGACCUAUCUCUCUCGGUCUCUCACUCCCCUUCACGAAAGACAAAUCCUGAGAAGGGCUACACCACAUUCGAAGGCGAUAUAGGAGUUCUGGUUCGUCGGCGGCGGCAGAGAGGCGACUUCUCUUCGGUUCAAUCUCUGCGGCUUCGCCUCAUUGACUUCUUUGACUCUCCCGUUUCCUAGCCCGCCUAUAACUCCCCCGUUUUCUUCUUCGCACCUAUAUGUGCCUCUCCCUGCAUCGAAUCUUCCAUUUACGCAAUACCCACCAUUAGAAUCGACUAGUCCCUUCUGAGGCUAGGAGGCACGAUCUUCCCUGGAGGCUUUGGUUUGAAAUCAGGUGCACACAUAAUUUCUGGGAAUGUUUUUGAACCUCGGGCAUUAAACGAACUUCUUCCUCAGUGGAAACAGGAAGAGUCGCCGAUCACUGUCCCUGUCUCAUCUAACAAAUUUUGGUUUCUUACAAAGAAUCGUGCACUUUCUUUGCCAUGCCCUUUUGAUAAUAAAGGAAAUUAUGUAAUAAGUUUAAGUCAAUUAGUGCGUUGGAUGGGAGCCAAAGCUGAAGAAUUAGGAGUAGAAAUAUACCCAGGUUUUGCUGCUAGUGAGGUA